rnacentral:rRNA from 2 species
AGAGUUUGAUCCUGGCUCAGAUUGAACGCUGGCGGUAUGCUUAACACAUGCAAGUCGAACGGAAACGAUACUAGCUUGCUAGUAGGCGUCGAGUGGCGGACGGGUGAGUAACGCGUAGGAAUCUGCCUGAUAGUGGGGGAUAGCCCGAAGAAAUUCGGAUUAAUACCGCAUAAUCUAUUCGUAGUAAAGUGGGGGACUUUCGAGCCUCACGCUAUCAGAUGAGCCUGCGUAAGAUUAGCUAGUUGGUAGGGUAAAAGCCUACCAAGGCUACGAUCUUUAGCUGGUCUGAGAGGAUGAUCAGCCACAUCGGGACUGAGACACGGCCCGAACUCCUACGGGAGGCAGCAGUGGGGAAUAUUGGACAAUGGGGGCAACCCUGAUCCAGCAAUACCGCGUGUGUGAAGAAGGCCUGAGGGUUGUAAAGCACUUUCAAUUGUGAAGAAAAGUUAACGGUUAAUAGCCGUUAGCCUUGACGUUAACUUUAGAAGAAGCACCGGCUAACUCCGUGCCAGCAGCCGCGGUAAUACGGAGGGUGCAAGCGUUAAUCGGAAUUACUGGGCGUAAAGCGUGCGUAGGCGGUUUAUUAAGUCAGAUGUGAAAGCCCCGGGCUUAACCUGGGAACUGCAUUUGAAACUGGUCAACUAGAGUAUGGUAGAGGAAAGUGGAAUUUCUGGUGUAGCGGUGAAAUGCGUAGAUAUCAGAAGGAACAUCAAUGGCGAAGGCAGCUUUCUGGACCAAUACUGACGCUGAGGUACGAAAGCGUGGGUAGCAAACAGGAUUAGAUACCCUGGUAGUCCACGCCGUAAACGAUGAUAACUAGCCGUUGGGGGGAUUUACCCUUUAGUGGCGAAGCUAACGCGUUAAGUUAUCCGCCUGGGGAGUACGGCCGCAAGGUUAAAACUCAAAGGAAUUGACGGGGACCCGCACAAGCGGUGGAGCAUGUGGUUUAAUUCGAUGCAACGCGAAGAACCUUACCUGGUCUUGACAUCCUGCGAACUUUCUAGAAAUAGAUUGGUGCCUUCGGGAACGCAGUGACAGGUGCUGCAUGGCUGUCGUCAGCUCGUGUCGUGAGAUGUUGGGUUAAGUCCCGUAACGAGCGCAACCCCUAUCCUUAUUUGCCAGCACGUCAUGGUGGGAACUAUAAGGAGACUGCCGGUGAUAAACCGGAGGAAGGCGGGGACGGCGUCAAGUCAUCAUGGCCCUUACGACCAGGGCUACACACGUGCUACAAUGGGAAGGACAAAGAGCCGCGAAGCCGCGAGGUGUAGCUAAUCUCAUAAAUCUUUUCGUAGUCCGGAUUGGAGUCUGCAACUCGACUCCAUGAAGUCGGAAUCGCUAGUAAUCGUAGAUCAGAAUGCUACGGUGAAUACGUUCCCGGGUCUUGUACACACCGCCCGUCAUACCAUGGGAGUGGGUUGCACCAGAAGUGGCUAGUCUAACUUUGUGAGGACGGUCACCACGGUGUGAUUCAUGACUGGGGUAAAGUCGUAACAAGGUAACC